rnacentral:lncRNA from 1 species
UUUUUUUUGUGUUUUUUUUUUUUUUAGAUUUAUUUUUAUAUAUAUAAGCACACUGUAGCUGUCUUCAGACACACCAGAAAAGGACAUCGGAUCCCAUUACAGAUGGUUGUGAGCCGCCAUGUGGUUGCUGGGACUUGAACUCAGGACCUCUGGAAGAACAGUCAGUGCUCUUAACCGCUGAGCCAUCUCUCCAGCUCCAUGUGGGAGGGUUUUGCUUUUUAGUGAGAUACAAUCCAUACACCACACAGCUCACUUAAUUAAAGUAUACAAUUGAAGGUUUUUAGGAUGUUCAUUAAGUUGCAAACAUGACCAUCAUCUCCUUCUGAAACUCUGCUAGUUAGGAUUCAGUAGUCUCUCUCUGUCUUGCUAUCAUGAGUCUCCCCUUUGCCUAUGUAGCCUCUCUGGAUAUUUCCUAUAAACAUAAGCAUGUAAUACAUGAUCUUUUGUGUCUGUGUGGCCUCUUCCACUCAACAGUGUUUUUAAGGAUUAUCUGUCUUAUCCAUCGUGUAGCAAGUCUCAGUAAUUUACUCCUUUUUAUUACUGACAGGAGUAUGAUCAGCUUUCUUUCUUAUGUUGUUUAGUUGGGUUCUGUUUUGUUUACUUGGUGUUUGUUUGUUUGUUUGUUUGAGACAGGGCUUCUCUGUUUAGCCCUUGGCUGUCCUGGGACUCACUCUGUAGACCAGGCCUUGGACUCUUGUAGAUCUGCCUGCCUUUGCCUCCAGAGUACUAGAACUAAAGGUGUGCCACCACUGCAGGGCCAUUAGCUUUCUUUUACUGUAACAAGCCAGCUGAGGUAACCAGCUUUAAAAGGGAGGCUCACAAUUUGCAAUCUUUGAAUCUGUGAACCUACAGUGUUGGGCCUGUGCAGCCCAGAACAUCAUGGUAGAAGGGUGUGGUUAACUCAUAUGUGUGUGUGUAUGUGUGUGUGUGUGUGUGUGUGUGUGUGUGUGUGUGUGCGCGUGCAUGCAUGAGUGCCCCUGUGUGUGAGCACUUUGCUGUUGUUGUCAUUGAACAGUUUAGUUUUUCAUAUAGUUUUGCCAUUUGUGGUUUUCUUGCUUUUUUUUUUUUCUUUUAUUAACGACUUAUAUGACAUUUUCAGGUAGGAGUUUAGACUUUCCUUAUCUGGCGGGCAUCUCAGCUCUUCAGGGUUCUUUGUUGCUUUCCAUUGAAUUCCACGGUGGACGGUAAGGCCGUUCCUGUUAAUCAGCUUUGUCUGCUGGUAACCUGCGCACUAUCCCGUUAUCCUUUGUUUUCUUCCAUUACCAUUUCCUCUCUACGCUUUUUCCCCCUGUGGCUUCUAGUAACCACUUAAUUUCUUUUAAAAUGCCACCUUCCGUGUUACUCUUCAAAAUAUUUAUUCUUCUGCUCAGAUGAGAAACACACAACCCUCAAUUAGACAUUUUCCCACACAGCUAACCCUGGCAUUUUCACACCGAUUAUUUCUUUUCACUUUAACUAAUUUUAGAAGAGUCUAAACUGCCAGCUGAAGACUUCCGUAGACGUUGAAACGACAUAGCCCUAUACAGAUGUGUUCGUGUGUAGCCUGUGGGCUAAUCUACAAAUGAAAACAACUAGUUAUCAAAUUAAUAGACUAAUGCUUGCUGAUUCAUACACUUCAUUUCUGUGUUUCUGAAUGAUUCAUCUUUCAAUUUACCCAACUCUUCAUAUUAUUUCUCUUUCUCACAUGUGGAAGGAGCUAGAAGCUACAUUUAAAAAAAAAUUCUCCUUAGAGAGGACUUUUGUUGUUAGUUUUGUUUUGUUUUGCUUGUUUCAAUACAGGGUUUCUCUGAAGCACUGAGUGUGCUGGAAUAUGUUCUGGCUGGCCUCGAACUCGGAGACCGACCUCCCUCUACCUCUGCCUCUGCCUCGGGAGCAAUGGGAUUAAAGGUGUGCACCAUCGUGCCUAGCUUAAGAUCUUUAUUUUUAUUCCAGGCAUUAUAUCACCAUGAAUAGUCAUGGUGAGAAACAUCUGUCUUGGGACUCAGGGAACUUCGGUCUCUGAACAUUAUUUCUGGAACUUUUCAGUUGUGAAGCCAACAUAUGACAUUUACACUAAGCCAUGACUACUAAUAUUGUAUAGAGGUAUUAGUGUUAAGAAGCCAUUACAGGGGCUAGAGAGAUGGCUCAGCAGUUAAAGACCCCUAGCUGCUCUUAUAGAACUGGGUCCCAUUCCCAUCACCCACAUGGCAACACAUACCCAUUUGUAACUCUAGUUUCAGGAGAUCUAACACCCUGCUCUGGCCUCCAAGGGCACAUAUACACAUUCAUAUACACAUAAAAUAAAAAUAAUACAUAUUUUUAAAAGAAGCCAUUAUAACAAGGGUAUAGCUGACUAUAUAGAGACUGUCUCUAUACAUAUAUGAAUGAGUUGGCCCGGUAUUUAAUAUACAGGAGGACCUGGCUCUGAUCUCCAGCACCAUAUAAACCUGGUGUGGCAGCACAUUUAUAAACCUAGCACUUGGGAGGUGAAGACAGAAAAGUCUGGAGUUUGGGGUCAUACACCAUUACUUACAGAGCCCAGACAAAGGUUGUGUGACACCCUGUCUCAAGGAGAAGAGGAAGAGGAAGAGGAGAAAGAGGAAGAGGAAGUAGAGGAAGAAGAAGAAAUUACAGCAUCAGCAACAACUUUCUGUGUGUCAAGAGAAAUAGCAAAAGAGAAAACGAAGGGCCGUGAAAGCAGUUUUCAUCCUGUGUUAUACAAAUGGUUUGGUGAAUAUAAGUAGGCUUGCAUUGCUACUAACAACCAUAGGUUCUUGGAGCUGGUAUCUGAGGGAUGGAGGAUAUGUUUACACCGUGCAAGGCCUUCGCUUCAGUCUCCAGCAUCCAGCAACAACAAAAAUAAAAUGUAAGGAAGGAUCAUGCAUUAGCUGGAGAUAGCUCAGUGGUUAGCAGCACUUGCAGAAGACCCAAGUUCAGUUCCCAGCAUCCAUGAUAAGCAGCUCACCACUGCCUGUAACUCCAGCUCCAAGAGAUCCGCCUCUUUCCUGCCUCUGCAGACACCUUUGCAUGCAUGCAUACGUGCACAGACAUGACAUUCACACAUACAUACAUAUAUGCACAUGAGUAAAUAAUAAAUCUUUAAAUAAAAAAAAGUGGUGCAGUGCAGGCACAUUUAAAAGUAGUUGCGGUGUGCAGCAUUAGCUGUCUGCUCUAAAUAACCCAGUCGCAGCUUUUCUGCAGGAGACGUGAGAUUUCAGUUCACACUGAUAGUUGGGCAAUUGAGGACUGGGGAAAUUGGCUCAGUGGGUAAAGUGUCUCCAAAUUGAACAAUGUGAGUUCGAUCCCCAGAAACCACAUACAUGUGGGAAAAAGAACAAGAACAGACUCUACGCGUUAUGACCUCCACAUCUGCAGGCAGACACAUACAUACACACACAUACACACAUAUACACACUCCAGUAAGUAAAUUAAAAUUUAAAUAUUGGGAGGUUUACAGAACUUCAUUCUUACUCAUAUAGAUCAAACAAAAAAACAUAGUAAGGCAAUAUAUGCUCUAAAUAACUAAUCAACAGGAUCAGUAAGCGCUGGGUGUUGAAUCCCAACAAUACAGCUAUACCUUGAUUUCAAGUGCACAUGAUCUACUUGUAUUAUUUGAUCUUACGUUAAGUUGGUCAUUGUACUAAAUAAACAAGAUAACUUCCAGGCAGGGCAUGGGCUCAUGCCUGUGGUUCUAGUGUAGGCUAAGGUAGGGGAGUUGUACAGAAUUCAAGGCUGUCCUUGGCUAUGUAGUGAGUUACAGGUCAGUUAGGGGGACAGAAUGAGACUUUGUUUAAAAAAACAAACUACCACCAACAGCAUAAACAUUCAAAUAAUUUUGGGAAACAGAAAUGAAACAGCAUUUUUGUGUGUAAGUAGAGGUUAAUAGUACUGAAGGUAAGGGUGGGCACACAGUAGCGUUGGGUACAGACAACAUUACUGAACUGUGCACUUAAGCACUGCCAAGGCAGGAAAGCCUGUGGGUGGAUAUUUUACCAUAUUUAUUUUGAAGAAGUAUUGUCAAGAGCACAGCAGUUACCUAAGGAAACCAGGAAGAACGUACGGUCAGUCUUGUUUCUGAGGUCAUAGAAUGAGAGAGGACAGACAUGUUACCCUACAGACCUGGCUGAGGGUCACAGCUCACACUGUCUUAAGAACUAGGGAAAAGGUUCCUUCAGGAUUCCCUUUCUGAGUGUGGUGGCCUAGGCCUGUAAGCCCAGCACUCAGGAGGCAGAGGCAGGUGGAUCUCUGUGAGGUCAAAGUCUACAGAGUGAGUUCCAGAACAGCAGAAAAACUGUCUCAAAACAAAACAAAGC